AACUUGAACAGAAAUGGUUGUUAACUGUAUAAAAAAUGUAAAGAUAUUCCAAUAAUCUACAAGCAAACAAAUUUGUGUAUACUGUAGGAAAUACAAAAAACAAAUCAAUUUAAUAAGCCAAAUAGUAAACCCAUACAUGGCUAAUACAAGAGACUAAUUAAUAUGCAUAUCACACUAUAUUUUAAUAAACCUGCUGGCCCUGCUGCAUUCUACAUUUGUUAAAAACCUUUAAACCAAUCACAACCCCAUUGCAUACACUAUAGGCAUUCGUCCAAUGGCAUAAGCUUAGGAGAGCGAGUGAGAAAGAGAGAGAGAGAGAGAGAGAUGGAUUAGUUCAGAGAGAGCAGAUCCCUCAUUCACUCCUUUGCACCAGAGCGACUGUGUCUGCGCUCCUUCAUUCAUCGAGUCCGAAGCUACCGACACCAAAGCCACACAAACCGCUCCACCGCAAGCUGUUAACAACUACAUUAAAAUGAGUGGAACUGAGCUGGCCAGAGGAAAGAGAUUUAAAAAGCAGCAAAAGAGAGACGCUGAACGAGAUCUGCAGUCAUUUUCACUCUCACUUCGUUAUGGCUUUUCUGCAGUGACAGUGUUCUCCACAACUCUUCAGGGGCUCCUCAUUUUCAGCAUGCCUGUGGCAGCAAUGGAUUACCGAGCCCUUCCUGGACGUGCAAACGCCCUGCUCAUCACAGGAACCUCAGCACCAGCAUCUACACGUUCACAAAUGACACGUGUGGAAAAACCUUCAACUGAGAUGAGCUCCGUCACUUGACCGGUGGUGCUUGCAUAGGCAUAGAGUCUGUUCAAAUUGCUUCAUUUCUUUCGCCCAUUUCCUUACUAUCACUCUUACUGCUAUAAAUAAAACGUCAAUAAAUGUAAAAAAUGUAAUACUGAAAAUAAUAUAUUGGUAUUUGGUACUACAUUGACUUACAAUUAAAUAUUCAUUCAUUCAUUU